rnacentral:rRNA from 1 species
AUUUGUGACAAUGCCACGUUGAAAGCACGACAUCUCGUCGGGUCUGUCAAGUAAGCACGUUGGGCCUGGGUAGUACUUGGA